rnacentral:rRNA from 1 species
GGAGGAAAGUAGGGGAUCGAAAGACCUUGCGCUUAGCGAGCGGCCGAUGUCUGAUUAGCUAGUUGGUGGGGUAAAGGCCUACCAAGGCAACGAUCAGUAGUUGGUCUGAGAGGACGACCAACCACACUGGGACUGAGACACGGCCCAGACUCCUACGGGAGGCAGCAGUGGGGAAUUUUGGACAAUGGGCGCAAGCCUGAUCCAGCCAUGCCGCGUGAGUGAAGAAGGCCUUCGGGUUGUAAAGCUCUUUUAGUUGGGAAGAAACGAUUGCAACUAAUAAUUGUAAUUAAUGACGGUACCGACAGAAGAAGCACCGGCUAACUACGUGCCAGCAGCCGCGGUAAUACGUAGGGUGCGAGCGUUAAUCGGAAUUACUGGGCGUAAAGGGUGCGCAGGCGGUUUUGUAAGUCAGAUGUGAAAUCCCCGGGCUUACCUGGGAAUGGCGUUUGAAACUACAAAGCUAG